CUGAAUUAGGAAUCCCAGGAGCUGAGUUGUAGCCCCUGCUCCUUCAUUCAUUCGUUUCCCUGCCUUGGGAUCUAGAAAGAAUAUACAUUUUGAAGUUAGAACAAACUGGUUUCGAACCAUUGCUCCAUGUUACCAGCUACGUGACUCGGGGCUCCGGAUUUUGCUCUUCCCACCCCACCUUCCCUUUUGCCUGAGAGAAUGCCGCUGCUGGUGGCCACACUUUGG